UGAUAAGCUUCAUAUUUACACAGAAAUUGG
rnacentral:piRNA from 1 species